GUGGGUGUCGCCAAGAGGCCUAAGGCACCGGAUUGUGGUUCCGGUAUUCGUGGGUUCGAAUCCCAUCACCCACCCCA
rnacentral:tRNA from 1 species